rnacentral:rRNA from 1 species
GACGUAGGGCGCGAGCGUUGUCCGGAUUUAUUGGGCGUAAAGAGCUCGUAGGCGGCUUGCCGCGUCGACCGUGAAAACUUGGGGCUCAACCCCAAGCCUGCGGUCGAUACGGGCAGGCUCGAGUUCGGUAGGGGAGACUGGAAUUCCUGGUGUAGCGGUGAAAUGCGCAGAUAUCAGGAGGAACACCGAUGGCGAAGGCAGGUCUCUGGGCCGAUACUGACGCUGAGGAGCGAAAGCGUGGGGAGCGAACAGG